CUUAAAUUGUAGGAGUUUAUUGUAGUAAAAGACACAUUGCCAUUAAUUUCACUUCAGAAUCCUCCCCCUUGUUUUGAAUACAUUUAUCCCAUCACUCUUGCCACUUUCUGAAGCAGUUUGGAGGUCCUCCUUCCUGAGUGUCAUUAUGCGGUGUGAUAAACAAUACAGGGAAUGUUUGCCAUCCAACAGGAAAGGCAGGCUCCUGAAACAGGAAGCUGAGCCCUCGCCCACCUCACACACCGGACCUGCUGCCGUGUGACUCCCGACUCCUUCCCAAACUAAGAAUGACAUGAAAGGGAAACACUUCAGACCAAUUUAGGACAUCCAGGCAGCCACAGCAGCACUACUAAGGGCACUCAGAAAUAUACACUUGGCUCUUCAGUUGGGGCUGUCAGUUCUGAAAAGAAAAGUAAGUUUUGCUUUGAUAGCAGAAACAGUCUUGAGUCCUAGAGGGAAAAGCGUGGCUCUGGCGAGGGGAGAAUUCCCCAACAUGGAGGACAAGGAUCGGGACCAGCAGACAAGGGCUCUGAAUGCUCCACUUUCUGGACACCAGGGAUGAGGCGUUCAGCAACUUCAUGGCAGAGGUUAAAGGCAGGAAGCAUGCUCUCUGUGCCACCCGCUGUCCCAAGACACCUUCCAACGGCACUUUCCAAAGUCGGGAGGAUUCAGGUGAGCUCACGUUCUGUCUCUAGCCCGGGGAAGUCAAAAAUAAUUCCCA
rnacentral:lncRNA from 1 species